UACAGAGGUCCCAAGCGUUUGUUCGGAUUCAUUGGGCGUAAAGGGUGCGUAGGCGGCGCGGUAAGUCGGGGUGUGAAAUCUCGGAGCUUAACUCCGAAACUGCAUUCGAUACUGCCGUGCUUGAGGACUGGAGAGGAGACUGGAAUUUACGGUGUAGCGGUGAAAUGCGUAGAUAUCGUAAGGAAGACCAGUGGCGAAGGCGGGUCUCUGGACAGUUCCUGACGCUGAUGCACGAAAGCUAGGGGGAGCAAACAGG
rnacentral:rRNA from 1 species